GGGGUAUAGGUUUUCGGAUCUAGAGACCGGCGCACGGGUGCGUAACGCGUAUGCAAUCUACCUUUUACAGAGGGAUAGCCCAGAGAAAUUUGGAUUAAUACCUCAUAGUAUUAUGAAAUGGCAUCAUUUUAUAAUUAAAGUCACAACGGUAAAAGAUGAGCAUGCGUCCCAUUAGCUAGUUGGUAAGGUAACGGCUUACCAAGGCAACGAUGGGUAGGGGUCCUGAGAGGGAGAUCCCCCACACUGGUACUGAGACACGGACCAGACUCCUWCGGGAGGCAGCAGUGAGGAAUAUUGGACAAUGGGCGCAAGCCUGAUCCAGCCAUGCCGCGUGCAGGAUGACGGUCCUAUGGAUUGUAAACUGCUUUUGUACGAGAAGAAACACUACUUCGUGAAGUAGCUUGACGGUAUCGUAAGAAUAAGGAUCGGCUAACUCCGUGCCAGCAGCCGCGGUAAUACGGAGGAUCCAAGCGUUAUCCGGAAUCAUUGGGUUUAAAGGGUCCGUAGGCGGUUUAGUAAGUCAGUGGUGAAAGCCCAUCGCUCAACGGUGGAACGGCCAUUGAUACUGCUAGACUUGAAUUAUUAGGAAGUAACUAGAAUAUGUAGUGUAGCGGUGAAAUGCUUAGAGAUUACAUGGAAUACCAAUUGCGAAGGCAGGUUACUACUAAUUGAUUGACGCUGAUGGACGAAAGCGUGGGUAGCGAACAGGAUUAGAUACCCUGGUAGUCCACGCCGUAAACGAUGGAUACUAGCUGUUGGGAGCAAUUUCAGUGGCUAAGCGAAAGUGAUAAGUAUCCCACCUGGGGAGUACGUUCGCAAGAAUGAAACUCAAAGGAAUUGACGGGGGCCCGCACAAGCGGUGGAGCAUGUGGUUUAAUUCGAUGAUACGCGAGGAACCUUACCAAGGCUUAAAUGUAGAUUGACCGGUUUGGAAACAGAUCUUUCGCAAGACAAUUUACAAGGUGCUGCAUGGUUGUCGUCAGCUCGUGCCGUGAGGUGUCAGGUUAAGUCCUAUAACGAGCGCAACCCCUGUUGUUAGUUGCCAGCGAGUCAUGUCGGGAACUCUAACAAGACUGCCAGUGCAAACUGUGAGGAAGGUGGGGAUGACGUCAAAUCAUCACGGCCCUUACGCCUUGGGCUACACACGUGCUACAAUGGCCGGUACAGAGAGCAGCCACUGGGUGACCAGGAGCGAAUCUACAAAACCGGUCACAGUUCGGAUCGGAGUCUGCAACUCGACUCC
rnacentral:rRNA from 1 species